rnacentral:lncRNA from 1 species
AUGGGCCGCUCCAAUUAGAUCACAUUCUUUAAGAUCCAAGUCUAGAUCAGAGUCUAGUUCUAGAUCAAGAUCACAUUCCAGAAAGAAGAGAUACAGUUCUAGGUCUCAAUCCAGAACAUAUUCAAGGUCUCAUAGUAGAGAUCAUAUUUAUUCUAGAGAUUAUCGUUAAGAUUACAGAAUUAAGAUUACAAAAAUAAUAGAGGAAUGAGACGACCUUAUGGGUACAGAGGAAGGGGUAAGGGUAUUAUCAAGGAGGAAGAGGGAGAUACCAUCGAGGUGGCUAUAGACCUGUCUAGAAUAGAAGGCACUCUAGGAGUCCUUGACGAGGUCAGUCACGGUCCAGGAGUCCAAAAAGAAGACCCAUGUCUUCUCAAAGAUCCCGAAGCAGAUCUCGCCGGUCAUAUAGAUCUUCUAGGUCUCCAAGAUCAUCAUCAUCUCACUCUUCAUCCCCAUACAGCAAAUCUCCUGUCUCUAAAAGACGAGGGUCUCAGGAAAAACAAACCAAAAAAGCUGAGGGGGAACCCCAAGAAGAGAGUCCUUUGAAAAGCAAAUCACAGGAGGAACCAAAGGAUACUUUUGAACAUGAUCCAUCUGAAUCUAUUGAUGAGUUUAAUAAAUCUGCUACUUCUGGUGAA